rnacentral:rRNA from 1 species
CCUACGGGAGGCAGCAGUAGGGAAUCUUCCACAAUGGGCGAAAGCCUGAUGGAGCAACGCCGCGUGGGUGAAGAAGGUCUUCGGAACGUAAAACCCUGUUGUUAGAGAAGAGAGUGCGUGAGAGUAACUGUUCACGCUUCGACGGUAUCUAACCAGAAAGCCACGGCUAACUACGUGCCAGCAGCCGCGGUAAUACGUAGGUGGCAAGCGUUAUCCGGAUGUAUUGGGCGUAAAGGGAACGCAGGCGGAAUGUUAAGUCUGAUGUGAAAGCCUUCGGCUUAACCAGAGUAGUGCAUUGGAAACUGGCAAACUUGAGUACGGAAGAGGAGAGUGGAACUCCAUGUGUAGCGGUGAAAUGCGUAGAUAUUAGGAAGAACACCAGUGGCGAAAGCGUCUCUCUGGUCUGUAACUGACGCUGAGGUUCGAAAGCGUGGGUAGCAAACAGGAUUAGAUACCCGGGUAGUC